UGGGGGAUAUUGCACAAUGGGCGAAAGCCUGAUGCAUCGACGCCGCGUGGGGGAUGAAGGCUUUCGGGUUGUAAACCUCUUUCGCUAUCGAACAAGGCCCGCUUAGGGUGGGUUGAGGGUAGGUGGAGAAGAAGCGCCGGCUAACUACGUGCCAGCAGCCGCGGUAAUACGUAGGGCGCGAGCGUUGUCCGGAAUUAUUGGGCGUAAAGGGCUUGUAGGCGGCUUGUUGCGCCUGCUGUGAAAACGCGGGGCUUAACUUCGCGCGUGAAGUGGGUACGGGCAGGCUUGAGUGUGGUAGGGGUGACUGGAAUUCCAGGUGUAGCGGUAGAAUGCGCAGAUAUCUGGAGGAACACCGAUGGCGAAGGCAGGGCACUGGGUCAUUACUGACGCUGAGGAGCGAAAGCAUGGGUAGCGAACAGG
rnacentral:rRNA from 1 species